AUGGCAGGAAACACUCACAUUGGAGGAAGAGGCGCCGGCAGAGGAAGGGCUUGCAUCAUCUCAGCUGGUGUGUGCCAAGCGGCUUGCCACGGGACUCCACGGUACGGUCGCCGGCAUUCUGCACCUUCCACCGUUGUCUCCUGUAGGUGUAUAGCUCCCUUCCUCUGGCCGCCCAUGUCCCUGCUACAGCCGGUGGACCUCCACAUAUCAGACGACGAGGGCACCGGCGACCAUGGUCAGUCCCGCGACGCCAGCAUCGGCCACCCAGUGGAUCUGACUACCGAAUGCCAUGCGGCGACCGCAGUGGUGUUGAUGCAUGCCUGCGACAAGACCGACACACUGGAACAACUCAACUCCUUCUGGCUUCCCAACCUCCGGCGUGCCCAUGUGAUGCUGCCUACAGCCUCCCAUGGAUCAGGUGAAGCUGCUGGAGAUCAUGGUGUGGGUUCAAGAUGGACCUCAUGGAUGAAUGACGGGGUCAAACGGUGCCUCCAUGCCAGAUACACUCUGUUGUCGUGCUGCCGAUGUUGUGUCAACGAUGCUAAGGAAUUUGCAUAUAAGUCCAACGGUUGGCAUGGCAAGGAAAAGAGGAUGUGGACCCCAUCAAAAUUCAAAGGACAUGGAUUGGCAAAAGCUCAAGACUCUACUUUUUUGGUUAAGUGA
rnacentral:rRNA from 1 species